AUACGGAGGAUCCGAGCGUUAUCCGGAUUUAUUGGGUUUAAAGGGUGCGCAGGCGGGAGAUUAAGUCGGCGGUGGAAUUUUGCAGCUCAACUGUAAAAGUGCCUUCGAAACUGGUUUUCUUGUGUGUAGAUGAAGUAGGCGGAAUUUGUGGUGUAGCGGUGAAAUGCAUAGAUAUCACGAGGAACUCCGAUUGCGCAGGCAGCUUACUAAACUACUACUGACGCUCAGGCACGAAGGCGUGGGGAUCAAACAGGAUUAGAUACCCUGGUAGUCCACGCAGUAAACGAUGAUUACUAGCUGUUUGCGAUACAAUGUAAGCGGCUGAGCGAAAGCGUUAAGUAAUCCACCUGGGGAGUACGUUCGCAAGAAUGAAACUCAAAUGAAUUGACGGG
rnacentral:rRNA from 1 species